rnacentral:rRNA from 1 species
UGCAGUCGAGCGGAACGAGUUAUCUGAACCUUCGGGGGACGAUAACGGCGUCGAGCGGCGGACGGGUGAGUAAUGCCUAGGAAAUUGCCCUGAUGUGGGGGAUAACCAUUGGAAACGAUGGCUAAUACCGCAUAAUGCCUACGGGCCAAAGAGGGGGACCUUCGGGCCUCUCGCGUCAGGAUAUGCCUAGGUGGGAUUAGCUAGUUGGUGAGGUAAUGGCUCACCAAGGCGACGAUCCCUAGCUGGUCUGAGAGGAUGAUCAGCCACACUGGAACUGAGACACGGUCCAGACUCCUACGGGAGGCAGCAGUGGGGAAUAUUGCACAAUGGGCGCAAGCCUGAUGCAGCCAUGCCGCGUGUGUGAAGAAGGCCUUCGGGUUGUAAAGCACUUUCAGUCGUGAGGAAGGUGGUGUAGUUAAUAGCUGCAUUAUUUGACGUUAGCGACAGAAGAAGCACCGGCUAACUCCGUGCCAGCAGCCGCGGUAAUACGGAGGGUGCGAGCGUUAAUCGGAAUUACUGGGCGUAAAGCGCAUGCAGGUGGUUUGUUAAGUCAGAUGUGAAAGCCCGGGGCUCAACCUCGGAAUAGCAUUUGAAACUGGCAGACUAGAGUACUGUAGAGGGGGGUAGAAUUUCAGGUGUAGCGGUGAAAUGCGUAGAGAUCUGAAGGAAUACCGGUGGCGAAGGCGGCCCCCUGGACAGAUACUGACACUCAGAUGCGAAAGCGUGGGGAGCAAACAGGAUUAGAUACCCUGGUAGUCCACGCCGUAAACGAUGUCUACUUGGAGGUUGUGGCCUUGAGCCGUGGCUUUCGGAGCUAACGCGUUAAGUAGACCGCCUGGGGAGUACGGUCGCAAGAUUAAAACUCAAAUGAAUUGACGGGGGCCCGCACAAGCGGUGGAGCAUGUGGUUUAAUUCGAUGCAACGCG